AUGCCUUUUGGCUUAUGUAAUGCACCUGCUACCUUUCAAAGAUGUAUGACUGCUAUAUUCUCUGACUUUUGUGAAAAGAUUGUUGAAGUUUUCAUGGAUGAUUUCUCCGUCUAUGGAACUUCUUUUGAUGAUUUCUUAAGCCACCUUCAUCGAGUCUUGCAGAGAUGCGAAGAAACUAAUCUUGUCUUGAAUUGGGGGAAGUGCCACUUUAUGGUUAAUGAAGGUAUUGUCUUGGGGCAUAAGAUUUCUGAAAGAGGUAUUGAAGUUGAUAAAGCUAAAGUUGGUGCUAUUGAAAAGAUGCCAUGUCCUAAGGACAUCAAAGGUAUAAGAAGUAUCCUUGGUCAUGCCGGUUUUUAUAGGAGGUUCAUUAAAGACUUCUCAAAAAUUUCUAGGCCUCUGACUAAUCUAUUACAAAAAGAUGUUCCUUUUGUAUUUGAUGAUGAUUGUGUGGAAGCAUUUGAAAUACUUAAGAAAGCCUUGAUUUCUGCACAUAUUGUUUAG
rnacentral:rRNA from 1 species